rnacentral:lncRNA from 1 species
UGUAAGCUCCUUGCCGCUUUCCAAUGGAGCGCGAAUGCACACUGUCCUCGGCCAGGGUUCUGAGCUGGGCCAAUCUUCCCGGGCAGGGCCCAGGGCAGUGUCUCCUUGGGGUGGUGCCCCCAAUGCCCACAGGGAGGCAGGGCCACAGUGAGUCAUAGGGGCGCGACGACUCUGUCACUUGAAGGGCUCAGGGAGUAGCUCUGCUCUCCUUGUCUCUCCACCCCCUACUUCUGCAGUCCUCAUCCCAUCUAGCCUGAAGCAGGGCCGAGCUGGGCUACAGUGUGUCUGUCUUGAGCUGCAGAAACUUGACUCUUUAACUGGGACAGACAGUGCUGUCAAGACAAAGCUUCCAAGGAUACAGCCUCUCCAGCACCUUAAAUUUAUCCAACAGACUUCUGCCAGUCUGUCUAAAAUAACAGAGAAGUAGAGGUGAUUCCUGCUCUUCCUCUUUGAACUUGGGCCAGCCUUGUGAUUUGCCUUGACCAACUGGACAUGGAGGAAGUGAUACUGUGCCGGUGCUUAGCCCGGCCUUUUAGAGGCCUGGCAUCUUCAGCUCUCUCUCAGGAGAAUACUUGUACCUGGAUCUUCACUAGGGGCAGCCAGGGCAGAAUGCGGUGUUCUCAAGACUGCCAUGCUGGCUCAUCCAUACCUUGUUGGACUUGAUAAGUAUCGUAACCUAAUGAAGGAUGCCAUUCUGUGCUCUGCAAGGCCUGGGGGAGCCCCAGUGGGAAGGGAUCCAGAUGGUGCUGGGCCUGGGCCAAAAGUGAAAUGGGGGAGGACGGGUCCUUUCUCUCCUUUGUCCCUAACCUCCCCACUUCCUACUGCUGUCUGACUCAGAACCCUCAUGAAAAACCCAACUUUUUACACUGAUAUUUCCCAGAGGCCUAAUUGUGCAACAAGAAAUAAAAACACAAUUAGGGAACUGAGGUCCAGCAGGAAAUUCAUGUUACAUAAAUAAGACCUGGAGUGCAUAGGGGAGUGCCCCAGCUCUCAGCCUUGUUAGUAUUGAAGGCUCCGAGCACACAGAUCUGGGAUCCUCUGAUUUGGUGGAUAACCCUUGUGAACAAUAAUUCUCUGAAAAGGUAUUUGGAGGAAAGAGACUUUAUUCCUGUAAACAGUUUUCAAACUAGGGGAAUGCAGCUUUCAGUGUAAAAUGAAGGUGCUUUCCAGACAACAAAGGAGGGGCUGGGCUUUUAUAGAGAAAGUUCCUGCCCUGUUCCCACUCAGGUCCACUUAUGCAAAUAAAGGAUUCAAACUUGCUUAAUCUGAUUGGUUGAUGCUUGCUGAGUUCUGAUUUGUUGACACAGGUCAUAGUCUAUUGGUUGGUUCCGGCAACAUAAACAAGAACAGGAAGCUAUGAAAGUCCCAAAGUUAAGCAGAUGUGGGUUUUCUGGGAACUCAAAAACAUGUGUGACUUCUAGUCAGCAAGUUGCCGCUUGGCUCUAAAUUGAAUUUAGGCCCUGUUAGCCAGAGUGUGAACCUUGAGAGAGCCGGCCUUUCAAGGUUCACACUCUUCACAUGGGCUGGAGAGAUUCCUAUCAUAACUGAUUUAUCCAUUCACCCAUUGACAGGCACUUGGAUUGCUUCCACCUUUAGGGUGUUGUGGACAACAUCAACACUGCUACAAACAUGGGUGGACAAAAGGCUAGUUCUCCUCAACCAUGGUGUAUGUAGCUGGAGGGAAAAUGCCAAAAGCUGCAUUAUGAGAAACAGUAAAGUCAAAACUGGAAAGAUGGAUCAAAGCGUGAUGUCUCCCUGAAGCCCCUCCUACUAGGCUUGAGGUGAAGGAGAAGCACAGGAAGAAAAGUGCCUCAGUGCUCCAACAACUUUUUCCAAAGAAGCCCUCUUUCUCAUUUCCAACUUUAAACCUUUUAAAACUUUGAUUGGCAUAGAGCUAAGGGUUGGAGAACAUUGUCACUUCCCUCCUUUGCAAGUCUGUGUGGAUAGUUGUAUGUUAUCUCCAAAGGUGGCCACCAUCAUUUCCUUCUCUCCCUAUAUGUGAUUUCCUUCUCUAUUGGCUCCAUUCAUCAAGAAGUAGAGGCGAUUCCUGCUCUUCCUCUUUGAACUUGGGCCAGUCCUGUGAUUUGCCUUGACCAAUUGGACAUGGAGGAAGUGAUACUGUGCCAGUGCUUAGCCUGGCCUUUGAGAGGCCUGGCAUCUUCAGCUCUCUCUCAGGAGAGAAUGCAGCAGGCAUGUAAGAAGGCUGAUGAAUCAGACCACCAUAUUAUGAGGAAGCCCAAGCUAGCCACAUGGAAAUGGCACACAAAGGAAAGCUGAGGAACGAAACCAACAGAAGCAUCAGGUCCCCAGCCAUAUGACCCAGUUAAGCCACCUUAGCUAUGUGGUAUUCCAGGCUCUUAGCAUGCUGAAGCUGGGAGGGAGCUUCGAGAUGAUGAGGACGCCAGGGCCUCCAUGAGGGGCUGCCCUGGUGAACACAGGCCCUGGUACUGAAUAAGCUCUUCCCGGUUCUAACUCGACUUUCAUGGUGUCAUUUUUGCGAGGUGCAUCUCUGAUCUGCCUCCAGUAAAUAAACGGCUGAAACAGAA